rnacentral:lncRNA from 1 species
UAAUGAUCCGCGCCCCGCAGACCCUUUCCAAAAAGUAGGCAGAGUAGUAACAAGGAGAAAGAAGCUGGAGUCAGAGAGCCAAAUCGUAAAAGCAAGCUUCAAAACUACAAAGAUGCUUCACAGGAAUCAUCGCCCCAGGUCCAGAGGACCCUUUGCCUAAAAAGCAAGAUAUCAUGGCUAUUCAUGAGUGCUGGGAACUGGCUUCAGGACCUUGUACAUGAGAGGCUGGCUAUAUUGAAUACCAUCCACCAGAUAAGGCUGGAUAGCAG